GAUGAACGCUGGCGGCGUGCCUAAUACAUGCAAGUCGAGCGAAGCGGGGACGGGUGAGUAACACGUGGAUAACCUCCUAUAAGACUGGGGUAACUUCGGGAAACCGGAGCUAAACCGGAUACUUUGAGAAGGAUCCGCGCUGCAUUAGCUAGUUGGUAAGGUAACGGCUUACCAAGGCAACGAUGCAUAGCCGACCUGAGCGGGGGAUCGGCCACACGGGAACUGAGACACGGUCCAGACUCCUACGGGAGGCAGCAUUGGGGAAUCUUCCGCAAUGGGCGAAAGCCUGACGGAGAAACGCCGCGUGAGUGAUGAAGGCCUUCGGAUCGUAAAACUCUGUUAUUAGGGAAGCGGUACCUAAUCAGAAAGCCACGGCUAACUACGUGCCAGCAGCCGCGGUAAUAC
rnacentral:rRNA from 1 species